rnacentral:rRNA from 1 species
ACGCUCGACACCUACGGGAGGCAGCAGUGAGGAAUAUUGGUCAAUGGGCGCUAGCCUGAACCAGCCAAGUAGCGUGAAGGAUGAAGGCUCUAUGGGUCGUAAACUUCUUUUANAUAAGAAUAAAGUGCAGUAUGUAUACUGUUUUGUAUGUAUUAUAUGAAUAAGGNUCGGCUAACUCCGUACCAGCAGCCGGCGGUAAUCUGAGCGGGCUGGCAAGGC